rnacentral:rRNA from 1 species
GACGAACGCUGGCGGCGUGCUUAACACAUGCAAGUCGAACGAAGAGCGAUGGAAGCUUGCUUCUAUCAAUCUUAGUGGCGAACGGGUGAGUAACGCGUAAUCAACCUGCCCUUCAGAGGGGGACAACAGUUGGAAACGACUGCUAAUACCGCAUACGAUCUAAUCUCGGCAUCGAGGAUAGAUGAAAGGUGGCCUCUACAUGUCAGCUAUCACUGAAGGAGGGGAUUGCGUCUGAUUAGCUAGUUGGAGGGGGAACGGCCCACCAAGGCGAUGAGCAGUCACCGGUCCGAGAGGAUGAACGGCCACAUGGGGACUGGAACACGGCCCAGACUCCUACGGGAGGCAGCAGGGGGGAAUCUUCCGCAAUGGACGAAAGUCUGACGGAGCAACGCCGCGUGAGGGAUGACGGCCUUCGGGUUGUAAAGCUCUGUUAAUCGGGACGAAAGGCCUUCUUGCGAAUAGUGAGAAGGAUUGACGGUACCGGAAUAGAAAGCCACGGCUAACUACGUG